UUCAGAACUGAAAAUGUUUACAAAAAUUAUAUUAUCUAUGGGAAUAAGUAAAUUAUAUAGAACAUAAGUGAUUAAUCGAGUGGACAGAAGAAAGACGGAUAGAAAGACAGUCGGGUGGCUAUAGUUGCAUAUGCUAAGUAUCUCUAUUUCUACCUAUGAGUGUUUUAGUUUGAUCAGUGUUAUUGUUCUGUACACAUUAAGGGAUUUUUUCAAAUUUUGAAUUGAGCUCUACAUGACAAGAUACCAAAAUUUAGCGCCUUUCUACGCGCUUCUCAUAAGUUCUAGCUCGCCAGCUCGUAAACACAUUCUCAAGUUUUUCUUUGGUUAUACACACCAAUGCGAAUAGUGUUUGUGUGUGUGUGUUUGUGUCAGUGUGCAAGUGUUUGUGACUGUGAUCAGUCGAUAUUAAGGCAAUACAUACGAAGCUGGCGGACUGGGCAGAGCCACCCGGUGGAUGUUCCACGUAGCCACCGAUACGGAAUGCUCGUCGGCCGCAUAGCAUCUCCACACGGCCUGGAUGAGAGUGGCCGCCGGCUGGCGACGCCGAAUCAUGUGCUUCUGCCGCUGCUGCUGCUGCACUUUCAGAGCAAAUCCGCUGCCGAGGAUGCCCUAGGAAAAAAUAAGUGACUUACCGCUGGCAGGGCGAAGAAGGAUAUUCCCAGAAGGGCACAGCAGGAGGCAAUUAGCUUGCCCUGCCAGGUGAUCGGCACCAUGUCUCCAUAGCCCACCGUGCAGAGUGUGAUCUGGAAUCGGAAGGAUGGGCUAGCACUGGGAUUAAUUCAUGGGGUCUUAGGGACUUACCACACCCCACCAGAGGGCUUGGGCGAAAUUGCUAAACUUAUCAUUGACGUCCUUCUCCCACAUAUAGACCAGGAAUGAUGCAAAGAUUAGACCUAAGAACCCUAUGUACAUGGUUGUGAUCAGCUCCUGCAAGGUAAAAUAUAUACAUAUGUACAUAGGUAGGAAAUCGUGUACGUGUUUAAAGAUAAGGCACUUAAUUAAUUUUAAAGCAUGUGUUCUUUACGCAAUUAAAGUGCACUUGUCAUCCCGAUAACGAUAAGAGUAAGUGAUCUUAUUAAUCACGCUAAUCAAAGAGAACUUGAGCAAAUACUUUCAAGGUGUAAACGUGGAAGGCAAACUUACCUGUCUAUGUGCGUAUACAACCGAACCGAGCAGCUUCCAGGUGCCGCCCCGCCGAUCCAUGCGCACCAUCCGAAGGAUCUGAAAGAACCGGAGGCCACGUAAAGCACUCGUGGCGAACACCUGGCCCGAGGUGCCCAUUCCUAAUACUACAAUUGAGGCUAAAAUGAAUGGUCGCUUCACGAACUUCAGUCGACCCAGGCAUCCCUGGUAUCGCGAUCGGCAGCCCGAUGACCAGAGUCGAGCUCCGAACUCCAUUGUGAACCAGAUAACCACCAGGAUCUCCAUGCGGAACAGAAUGUAGACGGCGUCCUCUUCGUACUCCUUGAUGGUGGAAAACACACUGAGCGCCAGGCAGGUGAACACCAUCAGGAAUCUUUAGACAAAAAGAAAUCGAAAAUUAUUGUAUAUAAAUGCUAUUUUCUAUAAUUUCAUUCAAUAAUUGCUAGUGUAAUGAAAUCAAUUUAUAAAAACUUCUAAAGAAAUUCACUUUUCUUACGUGAAA
rnacentral:sRNA from 13 species